rnacentral:rRNA from 1 species
GUGGGGAAUUUUGGACAAUGGGCGCAAGCCUGAUCCAGCAAUGCCGCGUGCAGGAAGAAGGCCUUCGGGUUGUAAACUGCUUUUGUACGGAACGAAACGGUCCUGGUUAAUACCUGGGGCUAAUGACGGUACCGUAAGAAUAAGCACCGGCUAACUACGUGCCAGCAGCCGCGGUAAUACGUAGGGUGCAAGCGUUAAUCGGAAUUACUGGGCGUAAAGCGUGCGCAGGCGGUUUUGUAAGACAGGCGUGAAAGCCCCGGGCUCAACCUGGGGAUUGCGCUUGUGACUGCAAGGCUGGAGUGCGGCAGAGGGGGAUGGAAUUCCGCGUGUAGCAGUGAAAUGCGUAGAUAUGCGGAGGAACACCGAUGGCGAAGGCAAUCCCCUGGGCCUGCACUGACGCUCAUGCACGAAAGCGUGGGGAGCAAACAGGAUUAGAUACCCUGGUAGUCC